rnacentral:lncRNA from 1 species
UUUUUCUUUUACUCAUAGAAAAGCAGUAACUUUGGAAGAAGGAAAAAACUUAAGCUGCGGCUGACAUUUCAAAGUUAUUUUUCAGUAAGAAGGUACUUGGAGGCUGAUCUUUAACUACUCUAUUGCUACAAAGCUGAGCUGUGAAUGUGGAAACGGAAGACUUGCGAGUAAAAUGUAUUUUAAUACUUAAGGCCUUAGUCACAAAACCAGAUCCACAGAGUUCUUUCAGGAAAUCCCAGAGGGCCAUGCUUCUUGAGUCGGGUAAGAACUCAGAUUUCAAAUGCAUUGUCUUUAAACUUAGAAACUAAUUGGAUUUACAUUCUUUCUCUAGUUGCUCCCAGUUUUUUAACUUAGUAACUAAC